rnacentral:rRNA from 1 species
AGUGAACGCUGGCGGUAGGCCUAACACAUGCAAGUCGAACGGCAGCACAGUAAGAGCUUGCUCUUACGGGUGGCGAGUGGCGGACGGGUGAGGAAUACAUCGGAAUCUACUUUUUCGUGGGGGAUAACGUAGGGAAACUUACGCUAAUACCGCAUACGACCUACGGUGAAAGCAAGGGAACUUCGGACCUUGCGCGAUUGAAUGAGCCGAUGUCGGAUUAGCUAGUUGGCGGGGUAAAGGCCCACCAAGGCGACGAUCCGUAGCUGGUCUGAGAGGAUGAUCAGCCACACUGGAACUGAGACACGGUCCAGACUCCUACGGGAGGCAGCAGUGGGGAAUAUUGGACAAUGGGCGCAAGCCUGAUCCAGCCAUACCGCGUGGGUGAAGAAGGCCUUCGGGUUGUAAAGCCCUUUUGUUGGGAAAGAAAAGCAGCAGGUUAAUACCCCGCUGUUCUGACGGUACCCAAAGAAUAAGCACCGGCUAACUUCGUG